AGGAAGUAUGUAGGUGGAUCAAUAUCUAAUUCUUUGUCACCAAUCCCACAUCCGUUGACCAUGGAAGUUGGUCAGUAUCGUGCAUCGUAUCUGAUCCAAUCACCUGCAAAGUCCAACUGAGACGCACCAACGAACCCAAAUCUGAGAUCCAGCCACACAAGCUUGCUUUCAUCUGGGUGGUUCUAAUUCACCUUUGCCUACCGAUUGUCUGCUAAUGGCGAAGAAAAGGCAAAGACAGCUGGUGGAAAAUCCCCCGCACAAGAAAAGUACUCCGAGUAGUGGUCUUAUUGACGCUUCAAACUCAGACAACGAUCUGGAUCUGCAGGAUAGUUGGGUGAUUGUCAAAAAGCAGAGAGUUAACAUUUUAGUACCUGGACUUCCUGUUGCUAAUAAAUCACCACUCCCAAGCCCAGAACCAAGUCAGCUGCAACUCGUGGCUAGAGAAACAGUAGAAAGUGGACCACAGCUUCCUGCCGAUACACAUCCCAAAACGACUUUGGUUCAUGAGAAAAAGAAGAUUAAACCUGUUGCCCCUAAAAGGGCUGUGCAACUUGCUAAGAAAGCUUCUCCUGCUGCUGCUGAAUACGUUCCAACCGUUUCCCAGUCAAUGAGGAGGCGAGAAUUAAGCACAAAAUCACAAACCCCAGAUCAGAUGGCUACUUCACAGUAUCAGAGAGCUCUAGGAGUAUCUAUGACCUCGAAAGCCAUCAUGCAGCGAAGAAGAUUACAACAUGUUUUCCUGGAUCAGGGAAUGUUGCUGAAUGAAAGGCUGAGAGCUCGGAAUAUUGAGAGGAAGAUUCAGAAUGCUGGUGGGUUAAGCAGGUGGUUAGCAUCAUUGGGACUGGAGCAGUUUGUUAGAAUUUUUCAGAGGAAAGGUUUCAGUAAAUUUCAGUUGGUGAAUUUGAACAUGAAAAAGCUCAAAGAUAUGGGUGCAAAUGCAGUUGGGCCAAGAAGGAAAUUGAUGCAUGCAAUAGACUGCUUUUGCCAACCAUCCUAUUAUUAAGCAUUCGAAAUUCAUUCACCUGAAUAUACAAGCUGAUCAGACAAGCACAGGAGAAAAAUCCCCUUCAAGCUGUUGGUCCAAGUUGUGUACAGUUUUUGGAUUUGUGUAUUUUUAUCAAAAGAAAAUGUCAACAAUGUGCACCGGCCAGCAGUUUCUACUUUGUAAAAUUUCUUGGAUCAAACGGUUGAAUAUCAAAGGUACAGGCCUCUACAGAGCAGAAUGGCAAAAGAGGUUCAGAUUGUCUGGUGAUGGCGAAGAAAAGGCAAAGACAUCUGGUGGCAAAUCCCCUGCACAGGAAAAAUACCCUGAGUGGUGUUAUUGACACUACAAACUCGACAACGAUCUGGAUCUGCAAGAUUGUUGGGUGAUAGCCAAAAAGCAGAGAGUCAACAGUUUGGUGCGUCUACUGCCUAUUGCUAAUACAUCACCACUCCCAAGCCCAGAACCAAGUCAGCUGCAACUCGUGGCCAGAGAAACAAUAAAAAGUGGAUCACAACUUCCUACCAACACACAUCCCAAAAUGGCUUCAGUUCAUGAAAAAAGGAAGAUUAAACCUGUUGCCCCUAAAGUUGUCGGACUUGCUUGAACUAGAAGAGCUUCUCCUGCUGCUGAAUAUAUUCCGACUUUUUCCCAGUCAAUGAGCUGCAACUUGAGAACUAAAUCACUAAACCCACAUCAGAUGGCUACUUCACGUAUCAGAGAACAUGAGGAUUGUCUAUAACCUCAAAAUCCAUCAUGCAGCAAACAGGAUUACAACAUGAUUUCCUUGAUCAGUGAAAAAUGCUGAAUUAAAGUCUGAGAGCUCGGAAUCUUGAGAGGAUGCUUCAGAAAUCUGGUCGAUUAAGCAGGUGGUUGGCAUCUCUGGGACUGGAACAUACAGCUUGUCAGGGUUUUUCAGAGGAAAGCUUGCAGAAAGUUUCAGACGUGAAAAAGCUCAAGGAUAUGGGUGCAAAUGCGUUUGGGCCAAGAAGGAAAUUGAUUCAUGCAAUAUAGUUCUUUUGCCAGCCAUUCUAUUAUUAAGGCAUUCCAAAUUCAUAAACCCAAAUAUAGAUGCUGAUCAGAGACAAACGCAAGAAAAAAAAAAAAAAAUCCCAUUCUGCUAUUGGUCCAAGUUGGAUGUGUACAGUUUGUGGAUUGGUGCAUUUUAGGAUAGAAAAUGUUAACCAUGUGGCAUUGGCUAGCAGUUUCUACUUUGUGAAGUUCUUGGAUCAAAUGGUAGAAUAUGAAUGGUGCAGACCUCUACAUAGAAGAAUGUCAAAAGUGGUUCAGGUACUUGAUUUUUAUUUUUAUGGAUAAGCCUCUAUCUACAGUGAACAAGUAUUGAGAAUGCUACCUGAAGUGGGGUUUAUGAAAACUUGGGUAGUGCCAUUUAAGUCAUAAAAUUUUAUAAAUUUAAAAUAGAAGCAUUGUGUGCAAAGAGUAGCUUAAGUGAAGUAAUUUCUUUUCUUGUACCUUCAUUUUUCUAAAUUUACUGUUACCAUCUGUUUAAAAAAAAAAUUAAUAAUUUAUUUCAAAC